GAAUGGACAGUUUCAAGUUAGGUUUAUGACGCGGAGAUAAUUUUAGUUUUAUACUUUUACACGCGCUUUUAUCAUUCAGUUUCGUUUAGUCUCGUUCGUAGCCAAGAGAACUAACUAUGCGGCAUUAACCGAGAAUUCGGAGUUUCUUUACUUCAAUGGUAAUUGACGCAUCAUAGACGCGCUUAGUCGCAGUUUCUACGCCGGAGACACGAAACCGAUAGAUCGCCGGUGAUCUCCUCGCGUCGUAGUUCGAACGUUUCACGAAUAAAGUGAAGAAAUUGAACUUUAUAUAUGAUAAUAGAAUUUAUUAUGCAAAUCCAACAGAGUGACGGUUCAAAGUGUUACAAGAGACUGGGUCAAAAUGUUUUAACAGACUGACUCGAGCGCUUAUUUUGAAGGGUUUUUAUACUGUGGUUUUAGUCUCUCUGGAGGGGCUGUCGUCUGGUGUAUCUCAGAGGCGCCUAUUCCGUUACUGUUUGGUUAUUGUUUCGAUGGCUGUGGUAUGCAGGAUGUCCAGCCUAUCGUAUUACUGUUUCUGAGCGGGUGGUCUUCUUGAGCGUGUGAUACGAGCGACGAAAUGGGAUUUGGUGCACCUUAUUUUUGUGUUAUCUAAGCUUUCAAGUUAUUAAGUCAUUUAAGCGUGUCAAGUUAUUUAAACUUUGGAGCAAAACACUUUGCAAAUAAUUAGCCAACUCGUACUCCCGAAAUCGACUCAUAUUACAGUCUGCUUAAAGUCGCGAAUCUUCGAAAAUUCUCGACUCAACACAAAGAAUAUAAUUUCUUGCGUCGACGUUUUCCUUGAGCAAGUCUAAAUUUCUAAAUCUAGGGUCACUUCAGGGUCAUAUUAUAUUAAACUUAUGAAUCUGAUCAAGUCUUGAUAUUAGCUUUAACAUGAAAAAUUGAUAAGUCAGAUUCUUAAAUGUCCUAUAUAUAUAUAUGUUUAAUUAUUUAAUUAUAGUAUUUAGCAAAUAAAACAUCAAGAAAUUAUCGAACAGCAUACCUUGUAUGAAUGUAAAUUAUUGACAACGCAAGUGAAGAAGACGUCACGGCCCUGGAUCACUGUGUGAUUCUCCAAAGGAGCUAAAAAUUCUGGCAAUGGCUCUGGAGUUAUCUGACCUGGAAAAGAAAUUUAUUAGCUUUAGAUAAUAACAUUAUACAGACGACCAAAUUAAUGUAAUGAUUUAAUAAUGUAAGUUAUUAAUAGCUUUUAUUUUAGCAUCAGAAUCGUUUGCAAUUUUAUAUUAUAAUAUACAAGAUACGUACAACCCUACUGUAAUAAUAAUUAGUCACCUUUCCUUAUCCCUAGUAGUAGUGGACAUAAUUUUGAUGUUCUACGAGCGAGAUACUGUCAAUCCGUUAGUAGAUUACAAUAUGAACAGUUUAUUUUGAAAGUGGUGCAAGUCCAUUUUGGUAAAAAAAUGAAAUAUCACGUAAUUUGUGAUUAAUUUAGUGUAAACUUUUUAUUUAUAACUAAUUAAUAUUUAAUGUCUAAAAUAAUGCCGAUGUUUUGUUCAAUGUAAAAGUGGCCAAAAGAAAUUGCGUAGCGAUUGAUUAUGAAAGUGGUGUAAGUCUAAUUUCCAUAGAUAUAGGUGUUGUUCACUUGAAAAAUACUGAAUUAGCAAACAAAACGUUACAAGAAGAUAAAAUUUUGACAUGAAAAAAUCUCGAUAAAUACUUUGCCUUUUCUCUUGAUUUACAAAAAGUCUUAGCCUAUCCAAAAUGAUCUGUUUCAAUCGCUUAUUAUAAGCGAAAUAUGUAUUGUAAUAAUUAUUUAAACGAGGGAUUUCAUAAUUUCCAUAACAAUAAAAUUAAUAUGUAUGUGUGGGACGAAAGCACUGCUUCCAGGGGAUUGUAGGAAAUAUUAGGUCAUCCUAUAAGUUCGUGACAACUUUUGUAUAUACAUUUCAUAUUUUAAAGAAAAACAAGAGAACUCUUAUCGUGACGGAAUAAUGGGCCUACCAGAAAAAUGGGAAGAAGUUGUACAACGAGAGGGGGAUUACAUUUUUUCAUGAAACUGAAAGGUAUGUAAACAAUCUUAACAUAUAUAACCGCUCGAAAAACGGCACGAACUUAUGCGAUGACCUAAUAGCUUCUUGCUGUUUGAGAUAUUCACAAAAUGUAACAACUCAAAGUUAUGUUAUUAUGUUCAUGGUAAUGCUGUCCAGUCUUUGGAAAAUAACAUCGAUGUAAUUGAUCAUAAAUUACUCUCCGGACAUUCGUAUCUUCCAAACGAUGCAGAUUUUGGUAUUACAGAAAUUUUGGCAUUACGAAAAAACAAUUUCAUGUACACAGCACAGGAUUAUUAUGAUGUUAUAAAACAAUGUAGAGAAAAUAAAAAAAUUAUUUUACACGAAAUGAAACGAGAAAUAUAAGGAUAUGGGGCAGUUACUACCUUAUAUACUACCUGUGUACCAUGAAUAUUUCAAAACGUUGCCAUAUAAAGAGCAUAAAUAAAUAAUAUCGAUAUCUUAUGUUAAGUCUAACAAUAUAUAAAUAUAAUUAACGUGCAAAGUAAAAAAUACUACUCCUAUUUUAUUUCUUGUUAUUAUUUAUAAACGAAAUUGGAUUGAUACAAAAUAUAUUCUAAGUGGUAUUCCAAAAAUGACUUUUACAAUUGACUAAUUAUGAAAAUGGUGCAAGUCCAUUUACAGCCCGUAAAUACAUAUUAUUUUAGUUAAAUUCGUCUGAAAGAAAUUUAUAUAAUCAAAUUACAUAUUGAUAAAUUGGUAGACACAUUGUCAGACUUGACGUAAUUAACCCCUUGCCGUACCUUAUCGAGUCAGACUCGCGAUGAAGAUUUUGGCCCAAACAUGAAUAUCGCGAGUCUGACUCGCGACCAGAUACUUGGCUCAAACAUGAAUAUCGCGAGUUUGAUUCGCGACCAGAUACUUGGGCCAAACGUAACAUAACAAACCGAGUUCGCGGACUGUUGUUUUGCCCGUUACCUGUUUAGCGCGCGUCGAUGUCUACCGCUUGGGCCCGAGUUUCGUCGAACUAAAUGGCACGGGAAGGGGUUAAUUUACAUUUUUGAAUUGGCUAAGAUGCUAACCUUUAAUUUUCCCGAAACAACAAAACAUUGACUUGCACCACUUUCAAAAUAAACGCUCCAUACGUUGUAUUAUAGUUCGGAACACGCACUGCCUAUUUAAUAAUUUAUUAUUAAAUAUGUGUAGUAUCGGGGCCAAAAGGCCUAAGGUAUCGGCCGAUUGGGUCUUUUAAGUGGACAGUUUUCGCGAAAAGGCUGCGUGACCUUGACCACGGGCGUUUCGGGAUACCUGUUCCGAAGGACGGAAAAAGGUAAAGAGACGUUAGAGUGAGUGUUAAGAUGCCGGAGUGAACGGAUGCCAAGAGUGUGCAGAGUGUGCAGAGUAUGAAUUGGGAAGUCGAAAGCCGCCUGUGAGAAUAGGACGUACAACAGCAUUGUAAUCAUUUCGUUGCUCCAAAUAUCAUUUAUUAAAUCAAAACAUCAUUACUUGUCCUUUCCUCUAAGACCCAUUUAGAUACUACAUAUGCAUAUUGAAUAAACCUAGUAGUCAAACAUUUUAUGUACAGAAUAUUCAGAAAUUAUAUAUGAUGACCUUGA